GGGAAAAGAUAGUGGAGCAGUAAGUUAAUUAGCAGGGCAGCCAUGGGAUUCUGCUGUGGGCCUUCGGAUGUCAAGGUGCUCCCAAAUAGCAUCUCCUCCUUGUCGCCGUCCUCCUCCUCUUCCUCAUCGGCUUCUGCUAAAGAUUCUGGCGAUGGUGGCAAGAAGAAACAGCAGCAAGGUGUGAAGAAGGAGCAGUGCAAGGAGAAGAAGAAGAGCAAACUUGACCAGGCCGCCAUGUCGAUGCCCCGCUUCCCCUUCCAUUCUCGGCCUGGUCUCAUGUAAUACUAGCUUACAGCCGAGGUUGGAGCUUAGGAUAUA
rnacentral:lncRNA from 1 species